GGAAAGUCCCUCAGCCACGCCACGCUUCCACGCGCAAACGCGUGCAUCUCGUUUUCCACUCGCACAAGGACGUUUACGCGAGCGUGCUGCAACGCUCAACGAGACGUGUGACGAUUACGUUCGCUCUUAUUCAACGCCGCAAGAAACAGUCGGUGCGGGCAUAACAGCGUCUCCAUCUCUGUCUGCGUGUGUGCGUGUUGGGUGGUGGUGGGGGGGGGCGCAUCGUCCCGUCGUUAUUUACCUGUCCUCCCCAUAGAGCACAAGCAGGCCGUUUUUUUUUUGUCUUCUCUGGGCUUUGCCCGCGACGCUCGCCGGUACACACCAAGAGAGCGACCUAAGAAGAGGAAAGCAGCGAACGUGUUUGCUUGGUUAUUUUUUUUCUUUAACCGCCAUCUCGCUGCAUAGACACCCAUGAGCACAUCCAUCGACCCGUCAUUGGCGCACAUGUCCGAGGCGGCCCAGCAGCAAGACGAGGCCCAGCGCCUCAUGCCGGAAGAGGAGGAGAGCCACGUACCGAAGGCAGAAGAAGGUGCAUCGGAGCAGAGCAGCCAAGAAGAGGCGAGCAGCACCAGCAGCGACGAGGACGAAGAGGCCGAAGAAGCCGAAGACGGCGUGGAGGACGACGAAGACGCAACCUUCCAAUUUGCCACGGAUGAGGAAGCGGAGGCACAGCGCGAGGCCGGCCUCGCCGCGUACAACGAAGGCCGCUACGAGGACGCGCUCGAUGUGCAGUACCGCGUGGUGCGUCACUUCUCCAACAAGUAUGGCUCCACUUCCGCCAAGUGCGGCAAGUACUUUCUCGACUACGGCCUCUCGCAGCUGCGUCUGCUACAGGGACAGACCACCGUGGACGACGUCCUGCAGCCCCGUGACGAGGACGCGCUCAUGACGUGCUACGUGAACCUGGAGGUGGCUCGUGUGUGCUUCCAGAAGUUGGAGGACGAGGUCGGUGACGAGGAUGUCGAGGUGGAGUUGGCGCUUGCCGAGGUGCACAAUGCGCUGGCGCAGCUUUCCUUAGAGAAGGAGGAUUACGAUGCGGCGCUGCGCGAGUACGAGGCGGAGCUGUUGCAGUACCGCUGCCUGCAAGACGCCGCUCCAGAGGAGGAGAAGCUCACCGUCGUCCCUGCCGGGCGGGUGAUCGGCGUUCUUUACGGUAUCGCCGACUGCUUCUUGAAGGAGAGCGACUUUGAAGGGGCCGAGGAGCGGCUGCGGGCCACGCUGGAUGAGAUCAAGCUGUACCCAGCCGGCACCAUUGCCGCUAGCCUUGUUGCCGAGCUGGAAGACUUGCUGGCCGACGCGGUUGAGAUGAAGGGCGGCAAGUUCCAGGAAAUUCAGAACGCCAUCAAGCAGCAGUUUGCUGCCGAGGCAGAGCAGAUUCCUACCCCGCAAGAGUUCUUCUCAGUUGACAAGGACGGCAAGCACCCCUUCCUCUCCGCCGUCCCUGGUGGCGCCGGGGACGAGGUGGCAGAGAACUCGUACCUGUCCAUGCCCAUGUCCGCGAGCGGGCAGGCUCUUGCCACGAAUGAGCACAGCAAUAGUCUCUCCGUCUCUCUUUUCCCGCCGCAGGGCAGCCGCAGCGGCACCCCGACCGGCCCGUUGCAGCACGCCACGGUGCGCAAGAAGCAGAAGCGCACCGGCGACGAUUCCCUCUCGAACGCGCAGCCGGAGAGCAAGAGGCUGCGUGCAGAAUCGGCGUCUGCAUAGAGCUGCAUCGAGGGUGGCAGUGAGAGAGUAAAGCGCUAGUGAAGGGUGCGUGGGUGGCGAGGAGAGGCGAGGGAGAGGGGUGGUGAUUGGUGGUGGUGGUAACGCAUCAACCUGAUGUGUUGAUCAGGGGUAGGAUACCUUUGCUGUGUGUUUUGUUUCAGCAUCUUGCCCUUUUCUUUGCGGGAAGCUUCUCCUUCCACAUUUGAUCACUAUAGAGCAACGUGAAAGGCCGAGCUCCCCAUCCCAGCUCUCGCCGUCCCUGCGACUCUUUCUUAGUGGAUUCCAUAGACGCGGUUGGUGUAGGCACCGUGCGUGUGUCUCUCUGCCUAUCUGGCUUCGCCUUUCUUGUCGCUCGUGCGCAUUUUUCCGUCCCGUGGUGUGUCCGCGCGAUUGAAGGGUGGUGGAGGAGAGUGCGCAUAUAUGUGAACGUGUUUGGUGGUUGCACGGUGGCAGAUGUUGGCCGUCGGCUCAUGAAGGGAUAAGAGGAGGGCGAAAAUAUGCCAGCCGUGGCGGCACCGUGCACGCAGCAUAAAACGGCAUGCUGCGUCUACGGUGUUCUUGCCGGACUCUGUGCUUCCGCUUUUCAGUGUGUUUCGGUUUGUGGAGCCCUCCGUGCCACUCCUGCCUAUUUUCUGUUCUCUCGACUCUGUCAGUCUGUAUGUCUGUUCGGCGCCAUCUAUGAGCUGU
rnacentral:misc_RNA from 1 species